rnacentral:lncRNA from 1 species
UUUAAUUUAUUUAUAUCGACAAUAUAUAUAAACUAGGAAAAUUGACAUAACUACCCGUUUGCAUAAUGUAUAAAUAUAUAUUUGUCUAGUAACUAUAAUCAUUUUUGGUCAAGCGUCCAAAUAUAUGAGAAAAAAGUCAGUAAAAUUAACUUAAGUGGUUGUCCGCAAAAAAAAACUGGUAGAUAUGUAAUAUAUGUAUUAUUAAUGUAUAAUACAUGUAUAUUCGCUAAC